CAACAGGUGGCAACCCUCUUAAAAAAUGUUCCUUUUGUUAAUAAAAUUACAUAAAUUGAGUUCUUGGAUAUAGAGGAAACGUAAAAUCUUAGAAAAUAAUUUUGUCCAGCUAGCUUGUUCUAGACGGAACACUGUGCAAUGGUUUAUUUGGACAGAAGGCGAGAAAUGCAUAAGAAGAGACCACUUACUAAUGAUAUUACUCGAUUUUUGAAGCCAGGACAGUGGACUGACCCUGAAGACAGGAGUAAUGAGGAUUGAUGCAUACAAAGAGCGACUGAUAAGGACUUCGGUCAUCAUUCUCCUCAUCGUAAAAUUUCUGCUGAGGGUUAACAUAGCCAGAGGCACCAUCAAAUCCAGUCGUUACCGACAACUCUAUGCUAUUCAUAGCAGUUUUGGGCCAAUCUGAUGUAACAGCUACG